ensembl:lncRNA
GAGGACCCUGUGAUGACAUCAAACCCACCAGGUGAUCCAGGCUCAUCUCUCCAACUCAAAAGAUCCUCAGCUUAAUCACACCUGCAAAGUCCCUUGGCCCUGCAGGAUCACAUCUGUACAGGUGGGGAGAAGGGCAUAGGUAUCUUGGACGUUAUUCUGCGGGGCACAACCCGGCCCUGCUGGGGAGUUCUUUCAGAAAGCCUGGAGGCUUGAGCAUAUGGCGAGGGCCUACGGGCGGGUGCUGGGGACGCAGAACCACGCCUCUGAGAAGGUGCUUCUGGAGAAAGCGCCAGCACGGGGAGGCUCAGCUGGCGGGAGUGCCUCCUCAGUCAGAGCCAAGCGCGUCUUCUCUGAACCAGGGAGCAACGCCACUGGAGACCACAAGUGCAGGGAGAGGAGCCCGGAUGACAGGGGCAGUUCUGGGGGCCUGGCAUCUUCUGGGAGCCCUGUGCCGGCAGGGCCCAUGCCGCUGUGCCGGAGACAGCCCAGUUGACCCCAUGGCCACUGAGCAGUCAUCAAAGUGGGGGCCUGCCAGGAACUCCCCUCCCUCCGUCUGUCCUGGUCCGCCUCGGCCACGCUGACAGCCUUUCCUCACAGAGGUCUGGGUUUUCUCGGAACCUCACGAUCAUUUCAAACUGUAUCUGUGACUUCUCAACCCAGGUACCUAAAAAUCAACGUCCUCCACGGCGGCUUGAUCUCUAAUCUGAUAUCUCAUGUGUUGCAGGCAUGAUGUCCACCCAGGCCCAUGGAGCCUCCCCAUCAGCACUCCAGUUGGCCACAGGCAGGUUGUAGGCCAAGCUCGUGGGGCCUGGCAUCCUCACUGUGCCUAGGGAACGUUCCCAUCAGCUUGGGCACACACGUGUCUUUUCUGGGGAGAACUUGUAGACCAACAAGCUGUCUCUUGGUUCUGCACUGUGUGAGCUUGCAAGAGAAGCGAUGCAGGUCAAGUGAAACUACUUUUAUCCUUUUCAAUGCAUUAUUUCUCAUUUCUGUGCUCCAUCAAGAUGGUACUCUCACCUGCAUGCCGGAGCUCUUAUAAAGGUAUAUCCAGUUCUGUAAGCACCAUUUGUUGAAAAGACUAGUUUUUGUCCCAUUGAAUUUUUUUGGUCCCCUUUCCAAAAGUCAUAAAUGUAAAGGCUAAUUUCUAUAUUCUCAAAUCCAUUCUAUUGAUCUAUAUGUCUAUUUUUAUACAGUGCCAUGUUCUUGAUUACUGUAGCUUUGUAGUAAAUUUUGAAAUCAGGAAGUGUAAGUCUUUCAACUUUUUUUUUUCUUUUUCAGAAUUGCUUUGGCUAGUCUGGGCGCUUGCAUUUCCAUAUGGAUCGUAAGAUCAGCCUGUCAGUGUCUGCAAAACCCAGCUGGGAUUUUCGUAGAUAUUGCAUUGAAUCUGUAUCUAUUUGGGGAGUGUAGCCAUUUUAACAAUAUUAGCACUUACAAUCUCUGAACUUGGGGUAGUUUUCCAUUUAUUUAAGACUUCAUUCAUUUCUUUCAAUAUUUUAUAGUUUUCUGUGUAUUAUCCUUAUACUUCUCUUGUUAAAUUCAUUCCUAUGCAUUUUAUCCUUUUUGCUACUAUUGCAAGUGAAUCAUUUUCUUAAUUUCAUUUUUUGUUUGUUCAAUGCUAUUGUAAAGAAAUAAAAUUGAUUUCUGCAUAUUCAUUUUGUAUCCUGCUACCUCGCCAAAUGUAUUUAUUAGGUCUAAUUGUGUGCGUGUGUAUGUGUGUGUGUGUUCUGUAGGAUUUUCCAUAUAUAAGAGUAUAUCAUUUGUAAAUAGAGAUUUUAUUCCUUGAAAAUCUGAAUGCCUUUAUUUCUGUUUCUUGCUUAAUUUCUCUGGCUAAAACCUUUAGUGUAACGUUGAGUAGAAGUGGAGACAGUGGGCAUCCUUGUCUUCUUCCUGACCCUAGAGAGAAAGCUUUCAGUUUUUCACUAUUCAACAUGACAGUUGUUGUGGGAUUUUUCUAGAUGCCAUUUAUUAGCUUGAGAAAGUUGUCUUGUAUUCCAAGUUUAUUAAGUGAAACAACAUAUAAAGGGGUUAUGAAAUGGUGUUAGAAUUUUGUCAUUCUUUUUUGUAUCUAUCAAGAUGAUCAUGUAUUUUUUAUUCUUUAUUCUAUGAAUAUGGUGUAUUACAUUGAUCGACUCUUGGAUGUUAAAGCAACCUGGCAGUCCUGGGAUGAAUCUUACUUUUUCAUAAUGUAUACAAAUUUUUCUAUGUUUCUAGAAUGGCUUUGCUAGUGUUUUGUAGAGAAUGUUUGCAUUUUUGUCAUAAGAGAUAUUGAUCUGUGGUUUUAUUGGCUUGUGAUGUUUUUGUCGGGCUAUGGUAUAAGGGUAAUUAAUAUAAAAUAAAUUAGGAGAUAUUUGUUCUUCUAUUUUUAAAAGACUUUGUAAAUGGUGUUAAUGCUUCUUUAAGAAGCCACCUGAUCCUGGGCCUUUCUUUGUGGCAAAUAUAAUGUUGUUGUUAUUAUUAUGAAUUUAAUCUCUUUAUUUAGUAUAUAUUCAACAUUUUUAUUGUUACUGAGUUGGUUUCAAUAGCUCAUGUCUUUUUUUUUUUUUUGAGAUGGUCUCUCACUGUGUCGCCCAAGCUGGAGUGUAAUAGCGCGAUCUCGGCUCACUGCAGCCUCUGCCUCCUGGGUUCAAGCGAUUCUCCUGCCUCAGCCUGCCAAGUAGCUGGGAUUACAGGUGCCCACUACUACGCCCGGCUAAUUUUUGUAUUUUUAGUAGAGACGGAGUUUCACUAUGUUGGCCAGGCUGGUCUUGAACUGACGUCAGGUAAUCUGCCGGCUUGGGACUUCCACAGUGCCAGGAUUACAGGAGUGAGCCACCGCUCCUGGCCAGUAGUUCACAUCUUUAUAGGAAUUUGUACAUUUUUUCUAGGUUACCAAAUUUGCAGGCAUAUGACUAUUGUAUUUCCUUAUCUUUCUUAUUUUUGUAAAAUUGAUACUAAUAUCCCUUCUUCCGUUUCCAAUUUUAGUAACUUAAGUCUUUUUUUUUCCUUGAUGAGUCUAGCUAAAGGUUGGUCAGUGUUGUCAGUCUUUCAAAGAACCAACAUUUGGCUUCACUGACUUUCUCUUACUUUUCUAUUCUCUGUUUCAUUAAUUUCACCUCUAAUCUAGAUGAUGUGCUUUCUUAUUCUUGCUCUGGGUUUCAUUUACUUAGUUUCUUAAAAUUGAAGUUUAGGUUAUUGACGUAAGACCCUCCUUCUUUUUUAACAUCAACAUUUAUAACCGUAAGUUUGCCUCUAAGUGCUGAACUGCAUCCCAUGAGUUUCAGAGUGCCUCAACACACACACACACACACACACGCACACACACGGACACAUACACACAUACACACAGCACACACACACACACACACACACACACAGAGCUCCUUGGCAAAGACUGAGAGAGCACAUUCUAGUAUUAAAAUGUCCAGCCAGGCAGUUCUGCCUUAGCCUUUACUUCUUUUUUUGAGACAGACUCUCGCUCUGUCGCCCAGGCUGGAGUGCAUUGGUGUGAUCUUGGCUCACUACAACCUCCGCCUCCCGGGUUCAAGCAAUUCUCCUGCCUCAGCCUCCCCAGUAGCUGGGAUUACAGGCACCUGCUACCACGCCCAGAGAAUCUUUUAUGUUUAGUAGAGAUGAGUUUUCACCAUAUUGGCCAAGCUGGUCUCGAACUGUUGACCUCAGGUGAUCCCCCGGCCUUGGCCUCUCAAAGUGCUGAGCCUUUACUUCUUACUUCUUUAGAGCCUCAAGACCAGCCAGAGGUAGAAGUGAGAGCUCAGGCCUUUCCUGAACAUGCACGUGGCCGUCUAGAUUCCCGGAAAGAUGUUGGUUCGCAGCUCCUGUAGACAUAUCAUUCCCCAGCUUUUUAAUUUGAAACUUGUUGGCUACCUUAUUGUUUCUCAAACUCUUAUCCUCUGCUUUGGUUACCAUGAAGCUAAACAUUUG